CCUACGGGAGGCUGCAGUGGGGAAUAUUGGACAAUGGGGGGAACCCUGAUCCAGCCAUGCCGCGUGUGUGAAGAAGGCCCUCGGGUUGUAAAGCACUUUCAGUGAGGAAGAACGCCUGGUGGUUAAUACCCAUCAGGAAAGACAUCACUCACAGAAGAAGCACCGGCUAACUCCGUGCCAGCAGCCGCGGUAAUACGGAGGGUGCGAGCGUUAAUCGGAAUUACUGGGCGUAAAGCGCGCGUAGGUGGCUUGAUGAGCCGGUUGUGAAAGCCCCGGGCUCAACCUGGGAACGGCAUCCGGAACUGUCAAGCUAGAGUGCAGGAGAGGAAGGUAGAAUUCCCGGUGUAGCGGUGAAAUGCGUAGAGAUCGGGAGGAAUACCAGUGGCGAAGGCGGCCUUCUGGACUGACACUGACACUGAGGUGCGAAAGCGUGGGUAGCAAACAGGAUUAGAUACCCCGGUAGUC
rnacentral:rRNA from 1 species